rnacentral:ncRNA from 1 species
UGACCUCGGAUCAGGUAGGAGUACCCGCUGAACUUAAGCAUAUCAAUAAGCGGAGGAAAAGAAACCAACAGGGAUUGCCUCAGUAACGGCGAGUGAAGCGGCAAAAGCUCAAAUUUGAAAUCUGGCUCCAUGCGGAGCCCGAGUUGUAAUUUGGAGAGGACACUUCGGGUGCGGCCACGGCAUAAGUUCCUUGGAACAGGACGUCAUAGAGGGUGAGAAUCCCGUCUUUGGCUGCUGGACCGCGCCCAUGCGAAGUUCCUUCGACGAGUCGAGUUGUUUGGGAAUGCAGCUCUAAGUGGGUGGUAAAUUUCAUCUAAAGCUAAAUAUUGGCCGGAGACCGAUAGCGCACAAGUAGAGUGAUCGAAAGGUUAAAAGCACCUUGAAAAGGGAGUUAAAUAGCACGUGAAAUUGUUGAAAGGGAAGCGCUUGCAACCAGACUCGGUCGUGGGGGCUCAGCGGGCAUGCGUGCCCGUGUACUCCCCCAUGCUCCGGGCCAGCAUCAGUUCUGGCGGUUGGUUAAAGGCCUCUGGAAUGUAUCGUCCUCCGGGACGUCUUAUAGCCAGGGGCGCAAUGCGGCCAGCCGGGACUGAGGAACGCGCUUCGGCACGGAUGCUGGCAUAAUGGUUGUAAGCGGCCCGUCUUGAAACACGGACCAAGGAGUCUAACAUCCACGCGAGUGUUCGGGUGUCAAACCCGUGCGCGCAGUGAAAGCGAACGGAGGUGGGAGCCCGCAAGGGUGCACCAUCGACCGAUCCUGAAGUCUUCGGAUGGAUUAAGAGUAAGAGCGUGGCUGUUGGGACCCGAAAGAUGGUGAACUAUGCCUGA